rnacentral:tRNA from 1 species
AGGGGUUUAAGUUAGUUUAAACUAAGAGCCUUCAAAGCUCACAAUGGGGGUUAAAGUCCCUCAACCCUUG